GACGAACGCUGGCGGCGUGCUUAACACAUGCAAGUCGAACGGAAAGGCCCUGCUUGCAGGGUACUCGAGUGGCGAACGGGUGAGUAACACGUGGGUUAUCUGCCCUGCACUUCGGGAUAAGCCUGGGAAACUGGGUCUAAUACCGGAUAGGAGCCAUUUUUAGUGUGAUGGUUGGAAAGUUUUUUCGGUGUAGGAUGAGCUCGCGGCCUAUCAGCUUGUUGGUGGGGUAAUGGCCUACCAAGGCGGCGACGGGUAGCCGGCCUGUGAGGGUGGACAGCCACAUUGGGACUGAGAGACGGCCCAGACUCCUACGGGAGGCAGCAGUGGAGAAUAUUGCACAAUGGGCGCAAGCCUGAUGCAGCGACGCCGCGUGGGGGAUGACGGCCUUCGGGUUGUAAACUCCUUUCGCUAGGGACGAAGCUUUUUGUGACGGUACCUAGAUAAGAAGCACCGGCUAACUACGUG
rnacentral:rRNA from 1 species